rnacentral:lncRNA from 1 species
CGCGCUCUAUGUCAAAUGUUCAAUCAGUCAAGUUGAAAAAUGUCAACAAGUAUGAUAAUAUUCUGAUCUUUAUUUUAGAGAUAUUGAUAUAUAUACUAAAUAUUAUUAUGUGUUGUAACCAAGAUUUAAUAAGUCUCUACGUUUUUACUAGAUAUUGUCGAAGAUACUAUGAGAUUGGUGCUUGAGGAAUAUCGGAUUUGCCUGCAACUACUAAACCGUAUUAUCGUAAGAUUAUGUGUUAUUUAGUAUGCGGAGGCGGACGCAGCGGUUGCCACGGCGGGUGCAACGACUGGGGCUGUUCCGUCCCGAACCCUUGCCUGUGCUGCAGUCAAUGCCUCGUCAGUUUGCUGUGCAAGUGGCUAUGCACCAUAAUCAUGAUUCUAGGCCUUGGUUUUGGACUAGUUGUUCUAUACGAUAUUAUAGAUCCUGACGGAACCCUUUUUAAAUUUGGCGAAAAUCGAACGUCGCACGACGAAAUACGACAAAGGGUGCACGACAAGCCUCAGCUCAGAAAGAUUCCAAUUGAAGAAGAGUUACUGUUACCCAAUGUUACUGUUUCCACCGAAAUUCUUAAAUAUUGGCGAAGACCUCCAACACCAGUGUUUUAAAUUAAUGUCUCAACUUUUUAUUUCCUGGAGUUGGCAGUUCCUGGAGUAUAUGCCUGCCGAAGUACCUUUUCCCUUGUAUCGUUGGCGUCGUACUAUUCAAACUUGCGCCAGACAUCAGUGUGUAGAAUCAGCGGAAUUGGUGAAUUGAUUUGAACAAGACAUGAAAUAAUUAAUACUUGCAUAAUUCAUUGAACUAAAUGGCAUCAUUUAUUGUAAUCAAUUUUAUUUUGAAGUCAUAUCGUGAC